AACGAACGCUGGCGGCAUGCCUAACACAUGCAAGUCGAACGAACCCUUCGGGGUUAGUGGCGCACGGGUGCGUAACGCGUGGGAAUCUGCCCUGGGCUUCGGAAUAACAGUUAGAAAUGACUGCUAAUACCGGAUGAUGUCGCAAGACCAAAGAUUUAUCGGCCAGGGAUGAGCCCGCGUAGGAUUAGGUAGUUGGUGGGGUAAAGGCCUACCAAGCCGACGAUCCUUAGCUGGUCUGAGAGGAUGAUCAGCCACACUGGGACUGAGACACGGCCCAGACUCCUACGGGAGGCAGCAGUGGGGAAUAUUGGACAAUGGGGGCAACCCUGAUCCAGCAAUGCCGCGUGAGUGAUGAAGGCCUUAGGGUUGUAAAGCUCUUUUACCCGGGAUGAUAAUGACAGUACCGGGAGAAUAAGCUCCGGCUAACUCCGUGCCAGCCGCCGCGGUAACAC
rnacentral:rRNA from 1 species